rfam:Trichuris trichiura, WGS project CBXK01000000 data, contig: TTRE_1399
CAAACGGCCCUUUUCAGGGCCACUAAGUGCCUUCAACAACAACAUG